AUUAAUUGGGCCCAAAUCAGAUUUUGGUCCAUUAAGGCCUAUGUGCAUUUUAAUGAGAUAUGGUGGAAAGUUUAGUACCACAUCGCCUGCUGAACCAAAAACGCACAAAGGAGGAGGACUAUAUAAGCAAGGCCCCUGGCCCCUGGAGGAGACAAGAAAUUAUCAUAGAGAUUGAGGGGUGCCCUCGAAGAAAAACCUCUUCUCUAAAUAAUAUUUCUUUUUAGGCUUAGCAACCAAUGUAAAGUAGAAAU
rnacentral:lncRNA from 1 species